rnacentral:rRNA from 1 species
UACGUAGGGUGCAAGCGUUGUCCGGAAUUAUUGGGCGUAAAGAGCUCGUAGGCGGUCUGUCGCGUCUGCUGUGAAAACUCAGGGCUUAACCCUGAGCUUGCAGUGGGUACGGGCAGACUAGAGUGCGGUAGGGGAGACUGGAAUUCCUGGUGUAGCGGUGAAAUGCGCAGAUAUCAGGAGGAACACCAGUGGCGAAGGCGAGUCUCUGGCACGCAUCUGACGCUGAAACACGAAAGCCAGGGGAGCGAACGGG